AGAUGAGAUUUCCCAUUACGUUAAGUAAGUAAGACCCCUUAGAGAUGAUGAGGUUGAUAGGUCUCGGGUGGAAGCGUGGCGACACGUGGAGCUGAGAGAUACUAAUCGGUCGAGGACUUAUCCAA
rnacentral:rRNA from 1 species